rnacentral:lncRNA from 1 species
AUGUUGCUCAGACCGAGCCUACAGGUAACCAGGGAUUUUCUGUAUCUUAAAGGGAGUAUAAUGAGUUCCUUAAAUAUCGAGCAAGUAAGCAGACGUCUCCACAAAUAGCCACUGUUGCUCAGUCUGAUACUUCUGUUGCUGGUAAUUCUUUUGCUUGUGUUUCCCAGUCUAGUCCUCUUGAACAAUGGGUUGUGGACUCAGCUGCUUCUGAUCAUAUCUCUGNNNNGUCUGAUACUUCUGUUGCUGGUAAUUCUUUUGCUUGUGUUUCCCAGUCUAGUCCUCUUGAACAAUGGGUUGUGGACUCAGCUGCUUCUGAACAUAUCUCUGGUAAUAAAUCCCUUUUGUCAAAUAUUGCAUAUUCACAGUUUCUUCCCAACAUUACUUUAGCUAAUGGGUCUCAAACUAAAGCAAAAGGAGUUNN